GACGAACGCUGGCGGCGUGCUUAACACAUGCAAGUCGAACGGAAAGGCCCUGCUUUUGUGGGGUGCUCGAGUGGCGAACGGGUGAGUAACACGUGAGUAACCUGCCCUUGACUUUGGGAUAACUUCAGGAAACUGGGGCUAAUACCGGAUAGGAGCUCCUGCUGCAUGGUGGGGGUUGGAAAGUUUCGGCGGUUGGGGAUGGACUCGCGGCUUAUCAGCUUGUUGGUGGGGUAGUGGCUUACCAAGGCUUUGACGGGUAGCCGGCCUGAGAGGGUGACCGGGCACAAUGGGACUAGGAGACGGCGCAGACGCCAGCGGGAGGCAGCAGUGGGGAAUAUUGCACAAUGGGCGGAAGCGUGAUGCCGCAACGCGCCGUGCGGGAUGACGGACUGCGGGUUGGAAACCGCUAUCGCCUGUGACGAAGCGUGAGUGACGGUAAGGGGUAAAGAAGCACCGGCUAACUACGUG
rnacentral:rRNA from 1 species